UGCGACCGGCAUCCAGCGAUAACCCCUCCACAGGAACUAAACACUUGAUAUAAAAAAAACUCCCAAGUCAGCACUCGACAUUCUGUUCUGUUCUGUUACGACAUUCUGUGUCUUUACUCUGUCAGUUUAUAUAAUAAAUUUUGCAAUAACUAUCAUAAUUGAAGUACCAAUCUCUCGCUUUACGUGCGGAACGUGAAAUAAUCUCGAACCGACCGACGUGACAUCUGUAGUGGAACUCGCAAACUGUGAUGUUACUGCCUUCUGAACAGUCAGCGUGAGAAUCAUUCGUCGAUAGAAAAUUUAACGGAAUCAAUAUUCCUUCUUUGACUGAAAUUGAUAUUUUUACGAAAAUUUAUACUUGUUUCUAAUAUUUAUUGGAUUAUGCAUCGAUGCUCUCGAUCAUUCUUUCUUCUAACAUUAUUUGCUUUUACUACGAAACAUGCAGUUGAUACGAGCAACAAGUCUUUACAUAUACUGAGAUUUACAGACGAACAAGAUCAACAAGUGGCUGCGUGUACCAACACUAAACGAAUAACAACGCUACAGCUAUGAAUAGUUUGCAAACAAUUUUAGCCAGUCUGAACUCAGCAUUAGACAGCACGAAGGUCAAUACACAGUACACAGUACUAAGGAAUUUCGGUUGAGAUGGUUCCAACAUUCUUAUCUUGCCCCAUCGAUUGAAGAAUAACGCAAUUGCCGCAGCCCAUAGAAAGAGUACGAAAAUAACUAUCAAGGCCUCUUCAGCUCUGAGUAUAACUGCACCUAGUUUUGG